AGCCCCGAGGUGUUCCACACGUAAGAUUGCAAAUCUUAAGUAGCAGGGUUACACCUGCCGGGGCUU
rnacentral:tRNA from 1 species